rnacentral:rRNA from 1 species
GAUCAUGGCUCAGGACGAACGCUGGCGGCGUGCCUAAUACAUGCAAGUAGAACGCUGAAGGAAGGAGCUUGCUCUUUCCGGAUGAGUUGCGAACGGGUGAGUAACGCGUAGGUAACCUGCCUGGUAGCGGGGGAUAACUAUUGGAAACGAUAGCUAAUACCGCAUAACAGUAGAUAUCGCAUGAUAGCUGCUUGAAAGAUGCAAAUGCAUCACUACCAGAUGG